rnacentral:misc_RNA from 1 species
CGCACAUUGCGCCCGCCAGCAUUCUGGCGGGCAUGCCUGUUCGAGCGUCAUUACAACCCUCGAGCACCCCUCCUCUCUCGGGAGGGUGGUGCACGGUGUUGGGGGACGGCCCGGCCCUUCGCGGCUGGGCCGCCCCCGAAAUGGAUCGGCGGCAACGGCGUCCGCCUCCCCUGCGUAGUAGCACAGCAUCUCGCAACGGGAGCGCGCCGCGGCCACUGCCGUAAAACGCACAACCUUUUUAGAGUUGACCUCGGAUCAGGUAGGAAUACCCGCUGAACUUAA